rnacentral:rRNA from 1 species
UACGUAGGGUGCGAGCGUUGUCCGGAAUUAUUGGGCGUAAAGAGCUCGUAGGCGGUGUGUCGCGUCGGCCGUGAAAACCUGCAGCUUAACUGUGGGCUUGCGGUCGAUACGGGCAUCACUGGAGUUCGGCAGGGGAGACUGGAAUUCCUGGUGUAGCGGUGAAAUGCGCAGAUAUCAGGAGGAACACCGAUGGCGAAGGCAGGUCUCUGGGCCACUACC